rnacentral:rRNA from 1 species
UACGUAGGCAGCGAGCGUUGUUCGGAAUUACUGGGCGUAAAGAGUGUGUAGGCGGUGCUCUAAGUUCGGUGUGAAAUCUCCCGGCUUAACUGGGAGGUGCGCCGGAAACUGGAGUGCUCGAGCGUGGGAGAGGAAAGCGGAAGUUCCUGGUGUAGCGGUGAAAUGCGUAGAUAUCAGGAGGAACACCUGCGGUGUAGACGGCUUUCUGGACCAUGCUGACGCUGAGACACGAAAGCGUGGGUAGCAAACAGG